ensembl:miRNA Gm22923 predicted gene, 22923
AACAGACACAAAGAUAUAUAUAUAUAUAUGUGUGUGUGUGUGUGUGUGUGUGUGUGUGUGUAUACAUAUAUCUACACAUACAUAUAUAUACACAUACAUGCACACAUAUAUA